CGCAAGGGCGAGAGAUGGCUCCAGCUCAAGGGGCUGUGGAUGACACACAGACUUCAGCACCGACCCCCAGAAGGUGGGCUUCGGUACACGGUCACAUGAAGUCCCUUCAUUCCCACACACCCCUUUUGAACUGCUUCACAGCACACCAAACCAGCACACGCCAAUUCCCGCACCCCUGUGUGCCCCCACACACGAGCACACCCUCGGUCUUACACCGGCCAAAGGAGGAAAAGAUAAGAGAGCACAGCAACGUGCCGAGUGCUGUGCAGCGCCUUGUUUGACCUCUGGGUUCCAGGGUAAUUCCUCAGAAAGCCCAGCUAUCAGCGAGAUAAGAUAACGGGCACAGAUGGCGGCUUAGCAAAGAAUGUCCCCAAGAAAAGGCAAUGACUUCCGGGAGGCCUCAGCAGUCUGAGGACAGGGCAGGACCAUGAGAGGAGGGACCCCGCAGCAUGCAGCAGGUACCUUCCUCUCACCCGGCUCUUCCUCCCCUCGUCCCCGUUGAGAUAUUCAGGAGCUCACAGGAGGGAUGAACAGCUUUCAUUGCUCUGUGUGCGCGUUGGGGUAUUUUUUGGUGAGGAGAGAGUGAGGAGCCGCUGCUGUGGCUGCCUGGCUUGCUCCGUGCUGUGCUGCUAUAUAUAUAUAUAUAUAUGUAUUUAUAUAUAUAUGUGAUUCCCGCCUCGAGGAGCUGGCCGGGAUCUGAGCCGCCCCUCCAAGAGCAGAGGUACCCAGCAGAGUCGUGUGGUGGAGGCGGAGGGGGAAGACGGCUGAGCUCCAGGGGACGGGGCAUAAAUUACCUUGGGCUGUUUCCAUCACCUUCAGAGUGUUCAACAAAUGUUACUCACUCACUCACCUUCCCCGGUCCUUACCUCGUCAGUGGAAUGAGGACGGAGAGCAUUAGCUCCAGAGAAGAGGGUGGGACUCUGAAGCCGCCGCAUCUUCGUACAAACGUCAGGAGAAGAUGCGCCCAAGGUCACAGACCAGGGCAGUGUCUCCAUGGAGUAGACAACGGGGUUCCUGGCUCCCUCCCCUGUGUCCAGACCAGUAAACCAAACAAUAAAAGUCUCUGGUAUGCAGAGGCUUUUAGCAA